rnacentral:rRNA from 1 species
UACGUAGGGCGCAAGCGUUAUCCGGAAUUAUUGGGCGUAAAGAGCUCGUAGGCGGUUUUGUCGCGUCUGCCGUGAAAGUCCGGGGCUCAACUCCGGAUCUGCGGUGGGUACGGGCAGACUAGAGUGAUGUAGGGGAGACUGGAAUUCCAGGUGUAGCGGUGAAAUGCGUAGAUAUCUGGAGGAACACCGGUGGCGAAGGCGGCAUCCUGGACCAACACUGACACUGAGGAGCGAAAGCCAGGGGAGCAAACGGG